GAUUUCUUCAGUUCUGUGCCGUCUCUAGCCGCGAUAGGAAUCUUGUCUGUGAAUUCGAGUGAUUUCGUUUCUCAUCCGUUUUCAUCGCUUCAUUGCAAUCUGCCGGCAAACGUGAGAUUUUUAGAAGGUUUGGAUGGACUCUAAUCCACCGAUUGGCAAAAAGGGGUGUGUAGGCGGUAAAAUGGUGGACACCCAGCACUUCUGCCUCCGCUGGAACAACUACCAGAGCUCAAUCACCUCGGCGUUCGAGAACCUGAGGGAUGACGAGGACUUCGUGGACGUGACCCUUGCGUGCGAGGGCAAGAGCCUCAAAGCGCACAGGGUCGUGCUUUCCGCGUGCAGCCCUUACUUCAGAGAACUGCUCAAGAGUACCCCAUGUGCGCACCCUGUGAUUGUACUGCAGGACGUGGCGUUCGCCGACCUGCACGCUCUCGUCGAGUUCAUUUACCACGGCGAGGUCAACGUGCACCAGCGCAGCCUCACGUCCUUCCUGAAGACGGCCGAGGUGCUCAGGGUGAGCGGCCUCACGCAGCAGGCCGAGGAGCGCGACGAGCUGGGGUCGGCGGGGGCGGGCAUCACCGCCCCCCGCAACCUGGCCUCCGCCUACCCUGAGAAGCUCGAGGACGCCCGAUUCCCGUCGCCUAUCACGGCCAGUCCCGUGGGCUCGGCCCUGGCGGCCAACGGCAACGGCGCGGCCGCCGCCCUCCUGAGGCGGCCGCCCGUCCGCAGGGACUCGGAGCAGGCAGGUCUCGGCGGCGAAUAUGAUCUCUCCAUGCUGAGCAAGAGGGCCAAGCUGAACAACGACGAGGUCACGCACAACAGCAACGUCGUGGCCGCCGCUGCGGCCUCCAUGCUCCAGCAGGCCGCCGUCGUGGCCGCCGCUGCUGCAGCUAGUCAGCAAACAAGCCCAGAGGAUUUUUCUCCCAAAUCUCGGCGUGGUGGGGUCGAGAUGCUUGAGAACAACCACCAACACAACCCCGAUUUGGACAGAAAAUCGCCCAAGGACGACUUAUUAUUGGCCAAGCAGGAGACUGGUGACCACUUGGGGCCCAACGUUGACGUAGAUAACGACGACUCUAUGGAGGGCAAGGCGCCUUCCUCGAUCGCCUCUGAUCAGGCAGAAACGGACGGCAGCACACAAGGGGGACCACCAGGGCACUUCAACAUGCAGGAAAAGUUGCACUCGUUAUUUUCAGCCUCCAGCCCAGGACAACCGUUCAACUUCAACCUACCUGUUAGUAGACAAGCUCUAUCUGAAGCUGCCAGCCUUUCGAGUCUUGCCAACGCUGCGGGACUAAACCAGAGCUUACCAGAGCUUGGCCUAUCACCAGGUUCGUCUGCGAGCAUGAUCAAGAAACAGUUUUUCUGCCUACUUUGCAGUAAGGUGUUAUGUUCGAAGGCUAGUCUCAAACGACAUAUCGCCGAUAAGCACGAGGAGAAGCAAGAAGAGUUCAGAUGUGUCAUUUGCGAACGCACCUACUGCUCGAGAAAUUCGUUAAUGACACAUAUCUACACGUAUCACAAAACGAGACCCGGAGAAAUCAAAGCAGAGCCCAUUUAACAUGCACAUUCGUACCUCUCCCGAUUGUCACAAUUGUUCGCUGCCACGUACUCCUGCGGAGAGGUGAUUUCUUAUAAGGUGCCUCCCCCGACCAACAAUAUGAACGAGCCCCAAGAGUGCCCAUACUGUCGACGCAUGUUCAGUUGUUAUUACUCGUUGAAGCGACACUUUCAAGACCGGCACGAAAAGUCCAACACUUUAUACACGUGUGAGUUUUGCAGCCGCAGCUAUCGUACAAAAAACAGCCUGACCACACACAAAAGCCUCCAGCACAGAAGUACGAAUGUGAUGCUUCGACGUCUGCUCAAGACGGGCAUCAAAAGCCUGAUGGAGCUCCCCACUCCGCACCACCAGCACCAUCACCAGCAACUUCAUCCAUCGCACCAGACUUCUUCAACAUCAUCAUCAACAGCAUCAUCUGCAGUCAUUCCCAAUUAGCAAAGUCUGAGAGUACAAAUAUCAAAGUUUGGCACAAUUUUAAUACCACAAACACACACACACACACACACACACACACACUCGUCGCUUUUUAUUGCUCUAUACUGAACUAAAACGUUGUUGAGAAUCAAGUCAAUUUUUGGCCAAAAAUAUAUUUGCUGACAGACCACGGAAAUAUAUUUUACAUUUUACAGCCUAAAAAACGAGCCGUGAAGAAAUUUGCCGGCUUGAAAAGAAGAAACUUGUUAAUCGGUUUGUCCUUUUUUCUUGUUCAUUCUGAUUGAGAAGCAAAAACACUUUCGAGGAGAACACUGGAGGAAAGAUUUAAUAUACGCUAUUUGCAGUUUUUGGUAUCUUGUCUGUGAUGUUUCUGUAAUAUGUAAAUUUUUAUGUACACGGUACUUCCGAAAUUUUCAAAAUUUAGUGCUUCUAGCGAACAAAAGGCAUCAAUUGACACGAGAAAAAUUUCGGCUCAAUUCGAUUGAGAAGUUGAACAUUUAAAAGACUUGAUUUUAAUGGGUACAUGCAACUCAUGCACUGCCCUGCUGGUGACAAAAGUGGAUAAACACGAGCGCGCAACAUAAUAUUUGAACAAUCUGCUGGGAAAUGUUUUUGGGAAAGAGUCAAGAACACGUGUAAGUUGAAUGGAUUUUUAGUGGGAAACAAAAACUUCCAAAUAUCAAUGCAUGGCUCGCGCGUUGAAGGAGUUUUUUUUGACGAUUAAAAGAGAAAACUUUUAUCCUAUUACUAAAUUGUUUAAGCACUCGUAAGACUCAUUCCAAAAUUGAUAUCGCGAGGAGGGGACAAAACAAAAAUUUUUAACAACACUCAAGUACAAAGUGUAAAUGUUGGUGUAUCAUUCUAAUUCUUAUUUCGGCUCUAUAUAUUGUACCAAUCGCUAAUUAAUGACACUUUCUUGAGAGAAAUGAAAAUCUAGAGAUGAUUCAAAUUGCUGUGUGUUUGUAUAUGGAAAAACAAAAACGGAGACUAAAGAAAAUGAAAUAUUUUAAAUGGCUCACUACCUUGAUAUAGGUGAAAAUUUAUUGAGAAAAAAAAUGCUAGAGGUAUUUUGAAGACAUUAGGCUUCACAUUUAUCCAUGUGAUUAUUGAUAAAUUUUGAGAAAAGAGAUGAAAUUUAAAAUUUAAGACUUACAUUCUCUAGAUGCCAAAUUUUAAGGAUUCUUAAAUCUCGAGGAGAAUAUCUAUCGUGGCCAGAGGUAAUUGAUAUAAAAAUAUCGCACAUUUCUUGUUGACGUGUCAAAUUUAAUGUUCUAAAAAUUCAAAUUAUUAUACCCAUAAAAGGGAAAAUCUUCUCGUUCAGUCUCUUCAAUUUUCAAUGUGAUCGUAUCUACUCUUUGACGUGUUAUCUAAUUUAAAGCCUAAGUAAAAAUUAUUGUUUGGCUGUUGCAUAAAAGAGGAAUCUCUUCCAUGCGUCAUUUAACACAGAAUUAUUAUAUAAAUUAUUAUGUUUGUGGCAAAACGAAAAAGUACGGAAAACGAAUGAAUGGGUGAACCUCCUCUAGCUUACGAGACUGGGACUAAAAAGCAGCUUGAAAUUGUGUUGUUGCUUGCGUUGUUUCAAUUUGACUGCUAAUUUUGCUGUGUUUUCAUAGUCACUUUUCUAGAUUAUUGAUGUUUUUUGUGUUUUAAUUAUCACGCAUCAAAAUUACUUGUAAGAAAUCGAAAUUAGGAAGGAAUAAUCAAACAACUACUAUUUAAUUUAUUUCUUAUUUGAGAAGACUUAAUUUUGUAACGUAAAAAUAUGUGGAAUUUAAUAAUGUUUAAUUGUGUUACGUGGCAUUUUUGAAUAUUAAUUAUAUACGCUUUGAGUUAUGAGAGCAGGAGGCGUGUGUCAUUGACAAGCAAUUGGCCCAGCUCACUCUCAAUUCUAUUCAACAUCUGAUCUCAAACGCUUUUGAUUUUGUUUGAAUUUUAAUUGUGCACCGGGCAUUCCACGAUUGCGCUAUAGUUUGGAAAAAGCGUCCAGAAGCAACAACCUCCGAAACUCUUCAACUCAAACGUACACGAUUUUAAUUUUGCCUUUUUCUUCUAACUGCACUGGAUAAACAUGUUAAUAUGGGAAACGCUGAAUUCCUUUGAUAAAAUGCAUACCAAAGAUUAGUUGAAAUCAUUCCCAAUAAGUUAGAAGAAAUUUGCUCGGAAAUUGACUGAGGAAUUAUUCACUGUGUAUUUUUAAUUUAAUUUUCCAGAGUGGGUGUAAGACUUAAAGUUAAUUAUUUUUCUCCUCAAACACGUAUGUACAGCAGAGGACACGAAAAUAAUUUCAUUUUUCCUUCCGACUCUCAUUUUGUGAAUCAAUAGACACAAAAGUAACACAUCUCGCCACACACAAAACGCAGCAUCCCUGUGUGCAUACAUAAAUAAUAUUGUUAUGGGAACAGUUGCCAGGCCAGCAGCAAUCUAAAAGGGUUGGCUCGUCCGGGCCCAAGGCUGAGAAUUAAAUCAUCGGGAGGCAGGCUUCGGGUCCCGAGAUGAGCCGCACCCGCGAACGCAAACUGGUCGAGUUAUAAUUCAUAGUUUUUGUUAAAAUAGAACUGUACAGAUAAAAACAAAACAAAAUGCAAAAACCAGGCGUCGAUACGCGCCACAGCAAAACAGACGAUAGUAAUAAUUUUAGACACAACAUAAAAUACAACGUGGUAAUCAAUAGUUUUUUGUGGUAGUUUUAACUGAGAGAUAACGUUUAAGUUUGUCGAAUUACUUGUUGCAAUGAUGGUUACAAUUUUUUGUUGACUGCUACGCGAUACACACAAACAAUGCGAUUUGUAUGAACUAUGAAGUAUGUAAUGAAAUAUUAUUAUUAUAUAAUUAUAUAUUCAAAUAAUAAGAGUUAUUGUGUUACAACAAUCCACACACCACACAGCUAAUCUGUAUAACCCGAACAGAGCUUGUCAGAAAUUGAGACAUAUUGCACGGUACAUAUCAAAAAGAAAUUUUAAAAGAAAAAAUUUAUUGAGAAAAAAAAACUUCAAACACCCACACGGAUCAGCGGCUGGUGUAAUCGAAUUUUGUUGCUACUUUAUGUGAUUGGUUGAAUAAUUUUAAUUGAUUGUACAGAGGAAGGAAUGAAACGACUUGUUGAACAAAUCCAAGUGAGGAAGUGUUAUAUCCGUGUAAAGUGUAAGGUUUGCGAAUAAUUACGCAUCAAUUGUAAUUGUAAUUUGAGAGAAAGAGUGACGCCGGCUUUCGAUUGCCUCGUUAAAAUGUGUCUCCGCUGCUUGCUCUACGUGAAUUUUCCAUUAUUUAACUGCUAUCAGUGCAGAUCAGCAAAAUUUUCUUACAGAGACAUGUAUGAAAAAUGUGUUUAUCAUAAGGACAAUAUGUUAUGUAUGCUGUACGCUAUAAAAUAGUAAUUGUAACACGCGCCAAUCAUAAUUUCCACACUCACAUAGAUGCCACACACAUACACACACGCAGAUAUACUUCAAUAUCACGCAGACCCUUAAUUAAUAUUUAUAACUGUGUAAUUACAAAUGUAAUGCCAUCACGCAUAAAUAUCACAGUUUGCAUCUUGCAGUGGUCCAAAUUGCAUAAUUAUACUGAAAACACAUUCAAAACAAUACAAACAUCGUGUAUCUUCCAUUUUGAACUUGUGAUUUUAAAACAGAAAAAAAAAACGCAAAGCCACGCCACAAAACUUAAGCCUGAAACUUUCGACAAGUUAAAAACGCCAUCUUUUUAGAAAAGAAUAAAAAAAUAAACAAUUAACAUCACCCUUACGCCAUUUGCGAAAAGCCCAAAGUUGCUACGAGAAAAUUGUCAUCUUGACACUUUUCUUUAUUACUUCACAAUGAUUCCAGAAGCCGAAUCUUCUGAAUUAAAAAUAAAAAUCUUAGUGUGCUUCACAAAUGUAAAAUCUUUUUGAGGAAAUUUCCAAUUAGGUGCAUUCAAAAGUUCAUUGACCUUUCGUCGGCUGGGUUUUGGAAUUUUUAAAUUUCUAAGGCUCCGGCACAAAUAUCGCUCGAAGUCAUAUCAGAUUAAGUGAGUUGCUUUCUCGUACUCAUCUUGGAAAAUGUCUCUGGGAUUUUUACCUGUUGUGUGUCGCAAAAAUACUUCAGAAGCACAUCAUACUCCGAAAGGGAGGAAGUUAUUUUUGUAGAGCCAUCUUUGUACAUAACGCGCAGACUUACAUGGAAGAAAUAAUGGAAAUUAUAAAUUGCCUUUUUUACACACGCGCUCUUCAACUGCAAAAUUUUCAAACGCAUUUUCGGGUCACAAAUGACAAUAUUUCUGAUGAAAGCAAAAAGUUCAAAAAGUUGUUGUUUGAACUAUAAAGACAAAAAAUGAAUUAAUGGUUCUGCAUUUCCGACAAAAAUAAUAACCAUCACUGUCAAAACGCGCUGUUUAGACGACUUUUAAUCGAUUACUUUGAAAAAGAAAAUGUUCGCACUUUUUUCUGUCCGCAUCAAAUGCAAACAUAAAUUUUAACUUACAAAAGGGCUGGCUCAAAAAUUAUAUAUUUCUGGCAUCAAAAUGCUUAAGAAACUUUAACCACAAACUACUGCAGAAUAACACUGUGAACACCAACAAUUAACCAGAUAGAGACUCAACCACUUACGCAAACAAACUCAUUAGUUACAGAUCCAGAGUUAAUAACAAAAAAAUAUGCAUACACUUGUUCAGCAAAAAAAGUAUGUAUAAAAAAAAACAUAGGCAGAGAACCCCUAGAUAAUUGUACUAUAUAAUCUCUCACAGACACACUUACACCGUACAAACCAUUACCGGUAAACAAUUCGCUUGAGUAAGAAUAAAUUUGAAUUAUAAUGAUGAUUGUUUUCUUUCUGCUCCGAGAGAAAAAUGAAUUAUCGUGAUAAUUUAAUGCUUUAAACGCAAAUAAUUAGCAGACACAUACACACAGACACACCACAAUACCUCAAACCCGCGUUGCAAUUACACAAUUAAUUGGAACUCAAACAUGCAUCUUAGUCUAAUGCCAAGGGUUACCCAGCAUCUUCUAUAGCAAUAGUGCUCUUGCCGACAACUGAACAAAAUCGGAUUUAAUCUCAGCACACCCUUCUUGUAAAAUCAAUGUUAGCUGCCGUUUAAGUGCUACAAAAGUACAGUAGAAGAGAUUAUAAUGAUUAUCAAAAUACCAAGUAUUUAAAUGCGCAGGGUAACCUGAUGUGAUUUUUCAAAUCCAUAAAAUGGGCACACAGGUGCUACAGAGAAAAGAAAUAAUAAUAUCAAAUCGACCAUGUGAAAUAUUUAAUUCGCGUAAAUUUAAACUUCUCUUCUCACAUCUAUCUCUCAUUAGAAACUUUCAAGUUCUCAUUGCAAUUGUCACAUCAGAUUAAAAUAGCAAAUGAAUAACCCACUUUUAGUUCAUUACUCUAUGAAAGCACUACAGACGUUACAAGUGCUGCUUUAAUUUUUGGUGUGGUUUAUGUAGAUUAUUUUUUGCCGUUUUCUUUCACACAACUGGACUUCGCAACCGAAUUCAUAACACAGAUUUAUAAUGAAAUGUUUGACCUAGGUUUUUUCUAUUGAUUGUACUUCAUUAUGAUGAGAAAAAUAAACAAAUUGACGUGACGGGAUUAUGUUAUUGAAACGACGUACAGGCAUUAUAUGUACACCGUACUUCCAUCUUGAUAGAUUACAUGUUCUAGAAAUAGAUUCCUGUAAAAUAAUAAUAAAAAUAUGUUCAUAUCAA